rnacentral:rRNA from 1 species
AUUGAACGCUGGCGGCAGGCCUAACACAUGCAAGUCGGGCGAACGAGGCUUCGGCCAAGUGAGCGGCGAACGGGUGAGUAACACGUAGGAAUCUGCCUGGUAGUGGGGGACAACGUCUCGAAAGGGACGCUAAUACCGCAUAGGCCCUACGGGGGAAAGCAGGGGAUCUUCGGACCUUGCGCUAUCCGAUGAGCCUGAGGCGGAUGAGCUAGUUGGUAGGGUAAAGGCCGAACAAGGCGACGAUCCGUAACUGGUCGUAGAGGAUGAUCAGUCACACCGGAACUGAGACACGGUCCGGACUCCUACGGGAGGCAGCAGUGGGGAAUAUUGGACAAUGGGGGCAACCCUGAUCCAGCCAUGCCGCGUGUGUGAAGAAGGCCUUCGGGUUGUAAAGCACUUUAGGUCGGGAGGAAGGUUUGCUGGCUAAUAUCCAGCGAAAUUGACGUUACCGACAGAAUAAGCACCGGCUAACUCCGUGCCAGCAGCCGCCGUAA